CUUUCCCUAAAAGAAACCUCUUUCAAAUGCUCUUAAAUUCUCUCCAAGGCAGCCCUAGCCCGGUGACCAAAAAUCCAGAUCCCAUUGGCUUUCCACCGGGUAAACUACCCCGAUAACCGCGACAGCCACCACCUACGGAGGCCUGAAAACCUAACCUUACCUUAUUUGAAUGCUCUUUUUCCCCUAAGUUCAAAUUUACCCUUCAAAUACCCAAAUAGUGCCCUAUUUGGUGUAGAUCUACGACUAAAUGUUCGAGUUUUACCUUCUCAUUCGAACGACAGUUGGUGUCUGGUGACCUCCCUUCUCUCUGAAGAUCACGAGCACGAGAUUCUUUAAGAUUUCAGUCGCACCAGAAGAUCAAGGGAAACAACGUUUAAUGUCCUUUUAGUACCUUCGCUUAUCGACGAUGCCCACUUGGCUUAUGUACUCCCUAGGAAACUUACGAAUGAAGUGGUCAGGACCUUAUAUUGUGACUCAAGUAUUUCCCCAUGGAGCAGUUGAAAUUCAAGAAGAUUCAUGAACUUGUUUCAAAGUAAUGGUCAACAGUUAAAGCCAUACUACGAGAAUAAUCAAACACGCGUGAUCAAGGAGGUUAUUUAGAAGAACUUAUAGUCUGAACCAGGCCGUCGAGCUAAAUGACUUUAAAUAAAUCGCUUAAUGG